GCAGCCGCAGCCCCUGGCGCUAACGGUCGGUAACGGCCCGCGCGCGCCGCCCGCCGGGGGCUCGCGCCAGCCACGAGGGAGCGUCCGCGGCCCGCGCGCCCGCGCGGCGGAGGAGAGGUGUUAAGUGUGAUGCUUCCAUAAUACAUUUGGAUGCUGUCAGCUAAGUUCACUUCUGAACUAAGGGGUUCCUCCAAAUGUUGGCUGAAAUUCAUCCCAAGGCUGGUCUGCAAUUACCUAUUUCUUUUAAGAAUAAAUUUAGUGGGAAUAUCAGUUCCAGUCAUGGGUACCAAACUUUUUUAGUGACAGAGUACACACAGAGUCUGCAAUUCAUAAUGGAGCUACUGUACUGGCUAUUGGAAGGAGGAGAUUCUGAAGAUAAGGAGGUAAAACCUGUUUAGAAAUUAAAAAUGAGUUACGAUUUAAAGAAAAUUCAGAUGACUCAUUGUGAGUGCUAGUUCUCUUGUAGGAUGCCACUGGAAAUGUUGAAAUGAAAAAUAUUCAGCCGUUGGUCUUUGAAAUUUCCUGUGAUGUGU
rnacentral:lncRNA from 10 species